GUCAGGGUAGCUCAGUUGGUAAGAGCGUCGGAUUCAUAACCCGGAGGUCGGGAGUUCAAUUCUCCCCCCUGACACCA
rnacentral:tRNA from 1 species